GGUUGAUUAGUGUAGUGGUCAUCACUCCGGAUUUUGAACUCAAUCAAAAUCAGGUCUUCCGGCAACCCCGGUUCGAACCCGGGAUCGACCU